rnacentral:lncRNA from 1 species
ACAGAAUAUAAAUGUAUGUCACUAUAUAUAUAUAUUUUUUUAUUUUUAUUUUGAGUUCAUUGUACAUGUAUGAAUAGAAUAAUUAGGUUGCAUUAAUAAUAAUUAUAAUUGUUUAAUAUCAAUUUAAUCGGAUAUGAAUAUAAGUCAAUGAUUUUUUAUAUUUAUUUUAUUUAUUUUUUGUUUGUUUGUUUUUUGUACUUUUUGUUUUGUUUUUGUUUUUUUGAGUUUGGAUUUUUUUUGUAUGGGGAGGGGGAUGUUCAGAUAAGAACUGACACUGACAGGUCAAAAUGAAUAAACAUGUUUUGUAUUUUUCUUUGAUAAAAUGCAUAUAA